rnacentral:rRNA from 1 species
GUUAUAUGGUCAAGUGAAGAAGCGCAUACGGUGGAUGCCUUGGCAGUCAGAGGCGAUGAAAGACGUGGUAGCCUGCGAUAAGCUUCGGGGAGUCGGCAAACAGACUUUGAUCCGGAGAUCUCUGAAUGGGGGAACCCACCUAGGAUAACCUAGGUAUCUUGUACUGAAUCCAUAGGUGCAAGAGGCGAACCAGGGGAACUGAAACAUCUAAGUACCCUGAGGAAAAGAAAUCAACCGAGAUUCCCUUAGUAGUGGCGAGCGAACGGGGAUUAGCCCUUAAGCUUCUUUGAUUUUAGCGGAACGCUCUGGAAAGUGCGGCCAUAGUGGGUGAUAGCCCUGUACGCGAAAAGGUCUUAGAAGUGAAAUCGAGUAGGACGGCGCACGUGAAACGUUGUCUGAAUAUGGGGGGACCAUCCUCCAAGGCUAAAUACUACUGACUGACCGAUAGUGAACUAGUACCGUGAGGGAAAGGCGAAAAGAACCCCGGAGAGGGGAGUGAAAUAGAACCUGAAACCGUAUGCGUACAAGCAGUGGGAGCCUACUUUGUUAGGUGACUGCGUACCUUUUGUAUAAUGGGUCAGCGACUUAUAUUCAGUGGCGAGCUUAACCGAAUAGGGGAGGCGUAGCGAAAGCGAGUCUUAAUAGGGCGCUUUAGUCGCUGGGUAUAGACCCGAAACCGGGCGAUCUAUCCAUGGGCAGGUUGAAGGUUAGGUAACACUGACUGGAGGACCGAACCGACUACCGUUGAAAAGUUAGCGGAUGACCUGUGGAUCGGAGUGAAAGGCUAAUCAAGCUCGGAGAUAGCUGGUUCUCCUCGAAAGCUAUUUAGGUAGCGCCUCACGUAUCACUCCAGGGGGUAGAGCACUGUUUCGGCUAGGGGGUCAUCCCGACUUACCAAACCGAUGCAAACUCCGAAUACCUGGAAGUGCCGAGCGUGGGAGACACACGGCGGGUGCUAACGUCCGUCGUGAAAAGGGAAACAACCCAGACCGUCAGCUAAGGUCCCAAAGUUAUGGUUAAGUGGGAAACGAUGUGGGAAGGCUUAGACAGCUAGGAGGUUGGCUUAGAAGCAGCCACCCUUUAAAGAAAGCGUAAUAGCUCACUAGUCGAGUCGGCCUGCGCGGAAGAUGUAACGGGGCUCAAACCAUACACCGAAGCUACGGGUGUCACGUAAGUGACGCGGUAGAGGAGCGUUCUGUAAGCCUGUGAAGGUGAGUUGAGAAGCUUGCUGGAGGUAUCAGAAGUGCGAAUGCUGACAUGAGUAACGACAAUGCGAGUGAAAAACUCGCACGCCGAAAGACCAAGGUUUCCUGCGCAACGUUAAUCGACGCAGGGUUAGUCGGCCCCUAAGGCGAGGCAGAAAUGCGUAGUCGAUGGGAAGCGGGUUAAUAUUCCCGCACUUCUAGUUACUGCGAUGGGGGGACGGAGAAGGCUAGGCCAGCACGGCGUUGGUUGUCCGUGUUUAAGGUGGUAGGCAGAGAUCUUAGGUAAAUCCGGGAUCUUAAUGCCGAGAGCUGAUGACGAGUGUCCUUUAGGACGCGAAGUGGUUGAUGCCAUGCUUCCAGGAAAAGCCUCUAAGCUUCAGGUAACUAGGAACCGUACCCCAAACCGACACAGGUGGUUGGGUAGAGAAUACCAAGGCGCUUGAGAGAACUCGGGUG